CCGUGGGCUUAGUAAAAUCGGUACAAGGUUCCAUAAAUCCACUCAACACUAGAGAUUCCGCAAACCCUGUAACUAUUCUCUUCCCUUCUCUCUCAGGUCUACCUUGCCCUUUCCGUCGACGGUGGCUCUGCGUUGGUUGAGAAAUAGUUUCUGUACAUUGGGGGCAGCAAGGGAAAAAGAAGAAGAAGAAGGAAGUUUGGUGUUUAAGGUGACUAGGUUGGUUUCUGGGCUAAUAUGGAGCUUGUUUAUGUGGGUAGUUCUGAAUUUGUUAAUGACGAGAGACUAGCCAGGCGAUUGAAGAGAAAGGGACUUGCUACUGGAAAUUCUGAGCCUAAUACUUCUAGUAGUAGAUUAAAGAGAACACGGGAAGAAAAUCGAUUGGGUCGCGAAACUGAUGAUGAUUUCAGGCCUAAUACUUCUAGUAGUAGAUUAAAGAGAACAGGGGAAGAAAAUCGAUUGGGUUGCGAAACUGAUGACGAUUUUGGGUCGCAUAUGAAUGAUAGAGAAUUAGCUGACCUUGUCGGGGAAGGUGGUGGUGAUGAUCUUCCUGAUGAAGAAGAUGACAUGGACCCUAAAUAUAAGAUGUUCUUGGAGAAUUUGAGUGAAGAUGGAAAUUCAUAUAGACUGGAGGUAACUGUGUUGAACGGGAGGUCUUUAUUGAUAAGAUAUGAAAAGGAGUGUGAGUUGGAUAACGAGCUUGAGCUGCAAACUGCAAGAAAAUCAGGGGAUUGUUUGAAUAUAAAGAAGAUAGAAGUUCGUAAAGAUGUGAGUGAUGUUUUGAGCAAAGACAAGAUUGAAACUCAAAAGAAUUCGAGGAACGUUCUUGGGAAAGAUAUGAUGGAAAGCCCCAAAAGUUUGGAAAAUGGUAGGGUGGAUAAAUGCUACCGAGAAUUCCUGAAUUGUAUCGAACUGGAAGGUGAUUGUAUUGUUUUUGUGACUGAUAAUGGAAAGAGGGUAAACUAUGAAGAGGAUGUUGAUAGUUCUUCUGAUGUAGAAAUAAUAGAGAUGGAUAAUGCUCCAUCAAAGAAUCCAUUUGUUACUUCAAGAAUGUUUGAUUCAUCUAUGGAGGGUGACAAACGGGUGGGACUUCCAAGGGAAAGUAAACGUUCUCAGUUCAGGGAGAAAGUCAUGGAUAUUCUCAGAAAACCUUUUGACCAGGAGGAGUAUGAAGAGCUUUUGCAUAAUAUAAAGGAGUUAAAGCCUGUGGAACGUAAUAUAGACUUGCGUUCGGGACCACUAUCAUACCAUGCAAGUAAUAGCUUCAAAUCAUAUCUUGAUCACUUUGUUGAUCUUAAAAGCAAGAUUAAUGAAGCCCGAUUUGAUCGUCGUAAAGAGCUGACUCUCUUACGUGGUUUUUUCUAUUGGUUGCAGGUAAAGUGCUGCCCGCUGCGGUCUCGAUAGUAGUUUCAUGCCCAUUUCUUGUCAAUGAGUUUGACUAUAGAAUGUGACCCGUGAAGGAGCAUUCCGACCUUGGUUAGACAGCUCGUGUUUGGAGGUGAUGCCAGGAAAUCGCUAGAUACUUCUGCCUCCACUUUGGUGAUUUUGUGAGUGUUUGACAAGGGUCUUUCUGCGCUCACUGCAAGCUUCUUGAUCACUUAUAAGGCACAAACCACUGAAGUUAUGCAUCAAUGUGUGUCGAACUGGCAUUUCGUUGACUUUUAUUUUAUUUCUCGUUCAAACUUCUUGUUUUACAUCUUGAAGAUGGUUAUCGUUGUAAUCAAAUUCUGUGAUUGUAUGCGAAGUUAGUAAAUUCAUGCUGUAUCUCAAUUCCCAAUAAGCAGCUUUGCCAUUGACAAUUU